rnacentral:rRNA from 1 species
ACGCUCGACACCUACGGGAGGCAGCAGUGGGGAAUAUUGCACAAUGGGGGGAACCCUGAUGCAGCGACGCCGCGUGAGGGAAGAAGGUUUUCGGAUUGUAAACCUCUGUCCUUGGUGACGAUAAUGACGGUAGCCAAGGAGGAAGCCACGGCUAACUACGUGCCAGAAGCCGCGGUAAUCUGAGCGGGCUGGCAAGGC